GACGAACGCUGGCGGCGUGCUAACACCUGCAAGUCGUACGGUAAGGCCCUUUCGGGGGUCCACGUGUGGCGAACGGGUGAGUAACACUUGAGUAACCUGCCCACAACUUUGGGGUAACGCUAGGAAACUGGUGCUCUUACUGGAUAUGUGCUCCUGGUGCGUGGGGGGGGUUGGAUAGCUCCGGCGGUUGUGGAUGGACUCGAGGCCUAUCAGCCUGUUGGGGGGGUAGUGGGCUACCAAAGCCGCGGCGGGUAGCCGGCACGGGAGGGUGGACGGGGACAAUGGGACUGCGAGACGGCCCAGACGCGUACGGGAGGCAGCAGGGGGGAAUAUUGCACAAUGGGGGCGAGUCUGAUGCAGAAGCGCCGCGUGCGGAAUGACGGCCUUCGGGUUGUAAACCGCAUUCAGCAGGGACGAAGCUUUUUGUGACGGUACCUGAAGAAGAAGCACCGGCUAACUACGUG
rnacentral:rRNA from 1 species